AUUGAACGCUGGCGGCAGGCCUAACACAUGCAAGUCGAACGGAGUGGCGGACGGGUGAGUAAUGUAUGGGAAACUGCCCGAUGGAGGGGGAUAACUACUGGAAACGGUAGCUAAUACCGCAUACUAUCAGAUGAGCCUAGUUCGGAUUAGCUAGUUGGUGUGGUAAAGGCCUACCAAGGCGACGAUCCGUAACUGGUCUGAGAGGAUGAUCAGUCACACUGGAACUGAGACACGGUCCAGACUCCUACGGUAGGCAGCAGUGGGGAAGAUUGGACAAUGGGCGAAAGCCUGAUGCAGCCAUGCCGCGUGUGUGAAGAAGGUCUUCGGAUUGUAAAGUACUUGAAGUUGGGAGGCGUUACCAACAGAAUAAGCACCGGCUAACUGCGUGCCAGCAGCCGCGGUAAUUC
rnacentral:rRNA from 1 species